ACGUGCAACUCUGCGAUAAGCGCCGGUAAGGUGAUAUGAACCGUUAUAACCGGCGAUUUCCGAAUGGGGAAACCCAGUGUGAUUCGUCACACUAUCAUUAACUGAAUCCAUAGGUUAAUGAGGCGAACCGGGGGAACUGAAACAUCUAAGUACCCCGAGGAAAAGAAAUCAACCGAGAUUCCCCCAGUAGCGGCGAGCGAACGGGGAGGAGCCCAGAGCCUGAAUCAGCAUGUGUGUUAGUGGAAGCGUCUGGAAAGGCGCGCGAUACAGGGUGACAGCCCCGUACACAAAAGCGCAUGUGCUGUGAGCUCGAUGAGUAGGGCGGGACACGUGGUAUCCUGUCUGAAUAUGGGGGGACCAUCCUCCAAGGCUAAAUACUCCUGACUGACCGAUAGUGAACCAGUACCGUGAGGGAAAGGCGAAAAGAACCCCGGCGAGGGGAGUGAAAAAGAACCUGAAACCGUGUACGUACAAGCAGUGGGAGCACAGGUUUACCUGUGUGACUGCGUACCUUUUGUAUAAUGGGUCAGCGACUUAUAUUCUGUAGCA
rnacentral:rRNA from 1 species